GUCCAGAUAUUCCUGGGGAGAACAGUGGACCCUCACCUCCUGCUCCCUCAUGCCCUACUUGUCGGCAGGGUCUGCAUCACCCAGCUGGUCUCGAGGGAGAGAGGAUCUGUGGCCACAGUUUUCCAAAACCAUCCAAAUGGGGACCCAGAAAGAAGAGAGUUCAGAGGCCCAUCAACCCUCUGAGGAAAUCCUGGAAAACAUUGUGAUGAAAAGGCAGUAG
rnacentral:lncRNA from 1 species